GAUUAGGACUAGCCCAUUACUUGGAAACUGGUGAUAUUUGUAUUCAGGACAGGGAAUAUUCGGAAGACAUUUGAACACUGAGGCUCUCCUUUGUCCAUCAAUCUAUCCUUCACUCCAUGCUUCAUGGGAAGGAAUGGAAGAAGGAACCCACCCAUUCCAAUAAUGGAAAAACUCCUUUCCACUGUCUCACUUUGAGAGAUGGAAGAAAGGGAACCCAGGCCUACAAGGCAUAGUGAGUAGAAGCAGAGCAGACAGGACUCGAGCACUAUGUGAGAUGGAGCACUGUUGUGAAAUGAAGUAAGAAGAGACAGAAUAGAUUAUCUAAAUGGUCUGCUCAAGGACAACAAUAUUUGACCACCACAUUUAACACUUAGACUUGCAUUCUAAGGAGAUGGCACACUUAUUACUAUAAUAAAAAUGUCAAACAAACAAAUGUUGUUCUGAUAAGAAUUCUAUUGGUUCUUCUAACAAGUCUUUUCAGGGUCUACAUAUAGAGGUCUGUGGACCAGUGGGAUUCCUAAAUUCCUUAUCCUCCGAACUACAUGGACACAUUAAAAAGACUUUAGUUUCUAUGAUGGUCAUCUUUUGCUUAUGAGUUUAGAGAGGAACAGGAUGCAGACAUCUUAAAAUCUUACCAUAAUUUUGUAUCAGCAUUGCAUGUCUUAUGCGAUCUAAAUUCAGGUGUGUUAUAUUUUUAUCCUGCUGUCUGAAAACUGAAGCUGAGCAGUAAUUCAUGUGUUUAUUUUUGUUACCUUUUCAUCAUAAACAACAAACUACUAAAUGUCCUGCUGACUUG